rnacentral:lncRNA from 10 species
CUCAUAAUGACCUUACUUGACUGGCUGCAUAAAAAGUCCCAAAUCUUCCUGCCAUUCCUUUCUCGUCUUGGCCUCUGGGCCGGGAGCACAAAGCCUAGGAAAGGACCCAGGGACAGAAAAAGGAAAUAUCGAGAUGACUCAUCUGAAGCCUGAAGACACUAAGCAGAUGGCCCGAGCCACAGAGGAUUUCACAGAAGGGCCCGGAUGAGAAGAGGACAGAUGCAGGGUACUGAUCACUGCACUAGAAUAUGUGCAACCUUCCACGCUGCCUUGGGGAUUCUAUUCCUGCCUAUUGUCCUUGGCUUCUUCCCCUUGUCCACUUCUGAACCCAUAAGCACGAAUUUCCUCUCCUCUCCCCAUUCCUAAUUAUCCCCAUCUCACGUGGGUGGCAGAAAGUCUUCACAUUUUCCAGGCUUCAUGGCUUAGAACUCCUUAGGGAAUGGUACCAGUCUCUAUAUCCAGGAUAAGUAGGUAUGCAGUUAUUUUGUAAGACCAGGACAUUUGUGGAAGAGAGAAACCACGUGAGCAAAGGCAGGCAGGUGUGGAGUAUGCACACCAGUGAAUCUAAGACUGUGCAAACUGUAUGAAUAACAAAUGAAAGGAAACAGAGCAGGCCUAAGUUUCAAGUGUGAGAAUGGCAAACAACCUGUUACCUAUAUCAACAGUUCAUUCUUUUCUCUUGCUGAGUAAUAUUCCAUUGUAUGCAUGCACUACGGUUUAUCUAUAAACCUGUUGAAGAAUAUGUGGGUAGUUUCCAAGGUUUGCCUAUUACAAAUAAAAUUACUAUAAAUAUUUGUGUACUGGAUUUGUGUACACAUUUUAAUUUUUCUAGGGUAAAUAUCCAGGAGUGAGAAUUAUGGGGCAUAUGGCGAGUGUAUAAUGAUUUACAAGAAAUUUUCAAGACAGGGCACAGUGGCUCAUGCCUGUAAUCUCAGCACUGAGAAAAAGAGGCAGGAGGAAGGCUUGAGGCCAGAAGAUCAAGAUCAGCCUGGGAAACACAGCGAGAUCCCUU